rnacentral:rRNA from 1 species
UACGGAGGGGGCUAGCGUUGUUCGGAAUUACUGGGCGUAAAGCGCACGUAGGCGGCUUUGUAAGUUAGAGGUGAAAGCCUGGAGCUCAACUCCAGAAUUGCCUUUAAGACUGCAUCGCUUGAAUCCAGGAGAGGUGAGUGGAAUUCCGAGUGUAGAGGUGAAAUUCGUAGAUAUUCGGAAGAACACCAGUGGCGAAGGCGGCUCUCUGGGACGGUACUGACGCUGAGACG